rnacentral:lncRNA from 1 species
UUUUACUAAGGGACUUAUGUCAGAAACGGUAGUAUUUUCUUCGGUUUCUAAAGAGAGGUCUUCGGUAUUAGGUUCGUUUACUGAUUCCCCAUUUUCCGAUUUAACAUGAUCAACUUCUUCCUUCGCCUUUUCGUUAGACAUGUUAUCAAGCUCAGCGUCCAAAGCAGCCACCGCUGUCAAUGUAUCCAUCGCGGAAUGUGUCUUCAUUGAGUUCCUAGUUGUUCUCUUAUUAGAAGCUGCUUUACCACUAUUUGAUCUUAAUGCACGCUUAGGAGGUUCAGCUUGUCUGGGUUCUUCUUCCACUUCAUCUUCUCCCACUGUUCCUUCAGGAGAGGUUUCAUCGCCUCGAUUAGUUUCUUCUUCCUUCUUUUUCUUCGUACGACUACUUUUCUUUGUAUUGCUAAUAGAACCAUCCAAGGUGGUUUGCCGAGUUGAUGAUUUAGUUGGCGCUUUACGAUUAUAUUUGCGUUUUGUUGGUUGAUCAGUCUUAACGACAAACAAAUCAGGAUGUUCACGAACAACACUAAGAAGAUACUCUCCUCUACGUACAAGAUGAACAGCACUAGGAACAUAGCGUGACUCUUUGUCAUUUUUAGCUUCGUCCAAAAAUAUUUUAUCGUGUAAGCCUAAGUCCGGGUCAUUUUUUAUUGCUUGCCAACAACCAAACCCGUGUUUAUUAAUACCAGCUAAAAGCAUAGAAUCUUCUUUAAUACCCCAUGAACAAUUCCAACUAUGAACGCUUCGAAUAGGAUAUCCAAUUAUCUGUUUCAAAGGAUCAAGGCCUUUGUAAGCACGAUGCAGGUGAGUUAAGUCUUUAACACGUAGCGUAACAGUUUCAGCAUUAAUAUUUUUAACCCCUUUGAACUCAAUCAAAAUGGCUUUUCUAGGUUGCUUAUUCUUAGUGUCAUCUGCUCCCAAGCGUUCCACAGCCUCAUCACAAGCCUUAACCAUAUCGGCGGAUAAAGAAUAAAUACGUUUCGGGUCAGUAGCCUGUAACUCGGCUUCCUUGACUAUUGUGUCAAACCGUUCAUCCACUAACCCAAAUUUGAUCAUGGCACGAUAAAGAAGUCGAAUCUCUUUUUCACGAACCAUUUCCUCACGUCUUUGUUGACGCUUAGUGAUGGACUUAGUGGUUCUUUUGUAUGUUCUAGAAGGAUGAUCCUCAUCAUUCUCACGUUCUUCUUCUUCUCUUCGUUCGCGUUCUUCUUCCUUUGCUCGUUGAGCGGCAAGCAUGCGUUCUUCCUCUUCGAUGCGUUCCAUUUCUUCUUCAGGAAUAAUGUCAUCCCAAUUUAGGUCUUCAGCCUUAUAAUCAGUAACCUCAAAUUGUUUCAAAAAUUCUUCACCACCCAUACUUGCUCCACCCACGUCGUUAGAAGAAUCACGAUCUUCAGCGUGACUAAGUAUAUCAUCCAAAUUCAUGUUUUCGAGCUUUUUCUGAUUUUCAGUUGCCUUGAACAUAUUAGAAGCACCAAAUUUUAAAAUGGCACUCAGCUCUUGGGCAUCAUACUUAUCGUUUUUGGAAUUUUUUGAUUUUUCAGUAACACCCAAAGAGAUGAUCGCAUAUUCUAAAAUCAUUUUUCUUCUUGCACGCUCUAAUAUAUCCUCCUCGACUGUGUCUUUUGAUAAAAAGCGGUAAACAUUGACAUGAUUUUUUUGACCAAUUCUAUGCGCUCUUGCCAUAGCUUGUAAAUCUGCUUGGGGAUUCCAAUCAGAAUCAAAAAUAAUAACAGUAUCUGCAGUAUUUAGGUUAAUGCCUAGUCCCCCUGCACGGGUACUAAGUAAAAACACAAAAUCAGGGCUAUCUGGUGCAUUGAAAUGAUCAAUUGAAACUCUGCGUACAGAAGCUGGGAUGGUACCGUCCAAUCUUUGAUAAUUAUAUCCGCGCAAGGACAUGUACUCUCCAAGAAUAUUCAACAUACGAACCAUUUGACUGAAAAUUAAUACGCGAUGUCCAUCAUGUUUCAAACGCUGCAGCAGUUUAUCAAGAAGUACCAUUUUACCACUAUUCAUGAUAAUACCUCUCAGCGUAUCUUCUCGAGUCAUCUUUCUACCCAUCAUCCAUUUUUCCGCUGCGCCAGGAAACAGAUAGGGAUGAUUUGAUACUUUUUUCAACUCUACAACUAUAUUGAGUAAGGAUAGCUGACCUCGGCCAUCGGUAUGACCUGUCAAGGCGCGGUAAUUUUUAGUUAAAAUGUUCUUGUACCAUUCAGUUUGCAUAUCAGAUAGUUCGACUCGAAGAAUACGCUCAGAUUUGGACGGUAAAGAUUUCUCUACAUCUUUUUUUAAGCGACGGAGAAUGAAGGGUUGUAAUCUUUCUUGUAGAUCUCGGAUGUCGCGCUCUUGUUCAGCAUUUGGUUGAUCAAAAUUUAAUUCAUCUCUAAUGUAAAAUUUUCCAGGCAUCAAAAAAUUAACCAAGGAUGCCAGCUCCUUGAGAUUGUUUUGAAGAGGAGUGCCUGUUAUUAAUAAUCUAUUGGCAGUCCGAAAUUGAGAUAAGGUCUCGUAUAAAGAUGAUUCACUGUUUUUGAGUCGAUGAGCUUCAUCGAUAGCAAGAUAUUGCCAGCGAAUAUUGUUGAGUUCUUGCUUAUCUUUCAAUAUAUACUCAUAGGUCGUAAGUAGAAUGUUAAAUUUAAGCUUGCGAGAAUUCGUAGAAAGGUAGAAUUCAUACUCUCUAAUAUUAGCACGAGAUU